UCUCUUAAAGCCGUUCUCAGUUCGGAUUGUAGGCUGCAACUCGCCUACAUGAAGUCGGAAUCGCUAGUAAUCGCGGAUCAGCAUGCCGCGGUGAAUACGUUCCCGGGCCUUGUACACACCGCCCGUCACACCAUGAGAGUUUGUAACACCCAAAGCCGGUGGGGUAACCUUUUGGAGCCAGCCGUCUAAGGUGGGACAGAUGAUUGGGGUGAAGUCGUAACAAGGUACC
rnacentral:rRNA from 1 species